rnacentral:rRNA from 1 species
GAUGAACGCUAGCGGCAGGCUUAACACAUGCAAGUCGAGGGGUAGGUUACUUCGGUAAUUGAGACCGGCGCACGGGUGCGUAACGCGUAUACAAUCUACCUUUUACAGGAGGGAUAGCCCAGAGAAAUUUGGAUUAAUACCUCAUAGUAUUUUUGAAUCGCAUGAUUUGAUUAUUAAAGUUCCAACGGUAAAAGAUGAGUAUGCGUCCCAUUAGCUAGAUGGUAAGGUAACGGCUUACCAUGGCUACGAUGGGUAGGGGUCCUGAGAGGGAGACUCCCCCCACACUUGGUACUGAGACACGGACCAGACUCCUACGGGAGGCAGCAGUGAGGAAUAUUGGACAAUGGGCGCAAGCCUGAUCCAGCCAUGCCGCGUGCAGGAAGAAGGUCCUAUGGAUUGUAAACUGCUUUUAUACAAGAAGAAACACACCCUCGU